AUCCAACUGACGAGUCCCAAAUAGGACGAAGUGGCGCGCAUCUUGGAU
rnacentral:hammerhead_ribozyme from 1 species